UACGUAGGGUGCAAGCGUUGUCCGGAUUUAUUGGGCGUAAAGGGCUCGUAGGCGGUUUGUCGCGUCGGAUGUGAAAACCCGGGGCUCAACCCCGGACUUGCAGUGGGUACGGGCAGACUAGAGUGUGGUAGGGGAGACUGGAAUUCCUGGUGUAGCGGUGAAAUGCGCAGAUAUCAGGAGGAACACCGAUGGCGAAGGCAGGUCUCUGGGCCACUACUGACGCUGAGACGCGAAAGCGUGGGGAGCGAACAGG
rnacentral:rRNA from 1 species